rnacentral:rRNA from 1 species
GAUGAACGCUAGCGGCAGGCCUAACACAUGCAAGUCGAGGGAGAAGCCCUUUCGGGGGCAGAAACCGGCGCACGGGUGCGUAACGCGUAUGCAACCUACCUUUCACAGGGGGAUAGCCCGAAGAAAUUUGGAUUAAUACCCCAUAAUAUUAUUGGAUGGCAUCAUUUGAUAAUUAAAACUGCGGUGGUGAAAGAUGGGCAUGCGUCCUAUUAGCUAGUUGGAGUGGUAACGGCACCCCAAGGCUACGAUAGGUAGGGGUCCUGAGAGGGAGAUCCCCCACACUGGUACUGAGACAGGGACCAGACUCCUACGGGAGGCAGCAGUGAGGAAGAUUGGUAAAUGGUCGGAAGACUGAACCAGCCAUGCCGCGUGCAGGAAGAAUGCCUUAUGGGUGGUAAACUGCUUUUAUAUGGGAAGAAUAAGGCGUACGUGUACGUUGAUGACGGUACCAUAUGAAUAAGCAUCGGCUAACUCCGUG